GAAGGUGAAGCGCGUUCAAACAGUACGACAGAGAAGAAGAAGAAGGUGAAGCGCGUUCAAACAGUACGACUGAGAAGAAGAAGGUGAAGCGCGUUCAAACAGUACGACAGAGAAGAAGAAGAAGGUGAAGCGCGUUCAAACAGUACGACAGAGAAGAAGAAGGUGAAGCGCGUUCAAACAGUACGACUGAGAAGAAGAAGAAGGUGAAGCGCUUUGAAACAGUACGACUGAGAAGAAGAAGGUGAAGCGCGUUCAAACAGUACGACUGAGUAGAAGAAGGUGAAGCGCGUUCAAACAGUACGACUGAGAAGAAGAAGAAGGUGAAGCACGUUCAAACAGUACGACUGAGAAGAAGAAGAAGGUGAAGCGCUUUGAAACAGUACGACUGAGAAGAAGAAGGUGAAGCACGUUCAAACAGUACGAAUGAGAAGAAGGUGAAGCGCGUUUAAACAGUACGACUGAGAAGAAGAAGAAGGUGAAGCACAUUCAAACAGUACGACUGAGAAGAAGAAGAAGGUGAAGCACUUUCAAACAGUACGAAUGAGAAGAAGAAGGUGAAGCAUGUUCAAACAGUACGAAUGAGAAGAAGAAGGUGAAGCGCGUUUAAACAGUACGACUGAGAAGAAGACGAAGGUGAAGCACAUUCAAACAGUACGACUGAGAAGAAGAAGAAGGUGAAGCACUUUCAAACAGUACGAAUGAGAAGAAGAAGGUGAAGCACGUUCAAACAGUACGACUGAGAAGAAGAAGAAGGUGAAGCACUUUCAAACAGUACGACUGAGAAGAAGAAGGUGAAGCACGUUCAAACAGUACGACUGAGAAGAAGAAGGUGAAGCACGUUCAAACAGUACGACUGAGAAGAAGAAGAAGGUGAAGCACGUUCAAACAGUACGACUGAGAAGAAGAAGAAGGUGAAGCACUUUCAAACAGUACGACUGAGAAGAAGAAGGUGAAGCGCGUUCAAACAGUACGACUGAGAAGAAGAAGGUGAAGCACGUUCAAACAGUACGACUGAGAAGAAG